GAUGAACGCUGGCGGCGUGCCUAAUACAUGCAAGUCGAGCGAACAGACGUGGAGCUUGCUCCUCUUCCGUUAGCGGCGGACGGGUGAGUAACACGUGGAUAACCUACCUAUUAGACUGGGAUAACUUCGGGACACCGGAGCUAUUACCGGAUAAUCUCUUGAACCGCGUGGUUCAAUAUUGAUGAAUGUCUUUCUUUUCCUUAAAGAUAGCACCACUCCCCGUUACCUAGUUGGUUAGGUUACGGCUUACCAAGGCAACGAUACGUAGCCGACCGCAGAUGGUGAUCGGCAACACUGGAACGGAGACCCGGUCAAGACGCUUACGGGAGGCAGCAUUAGGGAAUCUUCCGAAAUGGGCGAAGGCCUAACGGAGCAACGCGGGGUGAGGGAAGAGGGUCUCCGGAUGGUAAAACUCUGUUAUCAGGGAAGAACAAAUGCGUACGAAAAGAUGCACGUCUUGACGGUACCGAAUCAGAAAGCCACGGCUAACUACGUG
rnacentral:rRNA from 1 species